UUUGACUAAGGCGGUACAUCUGUCAAAUCGUAACGCAGGUGUCCUAAGAUGAGCUCAGCCGGGAGAAAAACCUGGCGUAGAGUAAAAGGGCAAAAGCUAACUUGAUUAAGAUUUUAAGUAUGAAUACGGACCAUAAAAGCGUGGCCUAGCGAUCCUUUUGAUCAACAAAUAUUCAGAGUUUGAAGCAAGAGGUGUAAGAAAAGUUACCACAGGGAUAAAUGGAUUUCGGCGGCCAAGCGUUCAUUGCGACGUCGCUUUUUGAUCCAUCGAUGUCGGCUCUUCCUAUCAUUGUGAAGUAGAAUUCACCAAGCUUUAAAUUGUUCACCCACUAAUAGGGAACCUGAGCUGGGUUAAGACCGUCGUGAGACAGGUCAGUUUUACCCUACUGAUGGUUGAACUGUGUAAACAGUGAAGUACAAUCUGGUCGUUGCAAUGGGCAUACUGUUUAGUACGAGAGGAACCGCAUGUUCAGAAUUUUGGUACAUGUGCCUGGCCGAGCGGCCAAUGAUGCGAUGCUACCAUCUGAGAGACUAAAACUGAACGCCUCAAAGUCUGAAUAUUGUCAAGAGAUGCGCAACGAUACAGUUUGUACUGCCACGUUGUUGGGCAGAUAUAGUACUUUCCGGUCAGGUUUCAUUCGGAUGGGGCCAGCGUGCACUACCGAACCUGGUCGGUCUGGUAAUGUAAUGCCAGAGCUGUAAACAUAACCGCAUACACCGGGCUAUGGUGUUGCGGGGGUCGAUACAAUAUCCAAUUGUGGUAUGAGAGUGUCGGCAUUAAAUCAUUUGUAGACGACUUAAUGUUUAGUUUGGGAGACGUGAGUAUUCCAGCAGCUAUCACACUGCGAGCUCUUGAGUUCUAUCCCUACUUGACGUAAUGAUUAGA
rnacentral:ncRNA from 1 species